AUUGAACGCUGGCGGCAUGCUUUACACAUGCAAGUCGAACGGCAGCACGGGUGCUUGCACCUGGUGGCGAGUGGCGAACGGGUGAGUAAUGCAUCGGAACGUAUCCAAUAAUGGGGGAUAACGCACCGAAAGGUGUGCUAAUACCGCAUACGCCCUGAGGGGGAAAGUGGGGGACCGUAAGGCCUCACGUUAAUGGAGCGGCCGAUGCCUGAUUAGCUAGUUGGUGAGGUAAAGGCUCACCAAGGCGACGAUCAGUAGCUGGUAGGAGAGGACGACCAGCCACACUGGGACUGGGACUCGGCCCAGACUCCAACGGGAGGCAGCAGUGGGGAAUUUUGGACAAUGGGCGCAAGCCUGAUCCAGCCAUGCCGCGUGAGUGAAGAAGGCCUUCGGGUUGUAAAGCUCUUACGCAAGGAAAGAAAACUUAUCCCCUAAUACGGGAUGAGGAUGACGGUACCUUGAUAAGAAGCACCGGCUAACUACGUGCCAGCCGCCGCAGUAAUAC
rnacentral:rRNA from 1 species